GGAAGGAUCAUUAUUGAAUGAACUUGGUGUGGUUGUUGCUGGCCCUCUCGGGGGCAUGUGCACACCCACCAUCCUCAUCUCUCCACCUGUGCACCUCUUGUAGACCUGGAUAGACUUUCCGAGGCAACUCGGUCGGGAAGAUUGCUGCGCUCUGUGAGCCAGCUUUCUUUGCAUGUCCAGGCCUAUGUUUUUCAUAUACCCCUAUAGAAUGUAACAGAAUGUAUCAUUGGGCCUUGUGCCUAUAAACCUUAUACAACUUUCAGCAACGGAUCUCUUGGCUCUCGCAUCGAUGAAGAACGCAGCGAAAUGCGAUAAGUAAUGUGAAUUGCAGAAUUCAGUGAAUCAUCGAAUCUUUGAACGCACCUUGCGCUCCUUGGUAUUCCGAGGAGCAUGCCUGUUUGAGUGUCAUUAAAUUCUCAACCUUAUUAGCUUUUGUUGAUAAUGGAUUGGAUGUGGGGGUUUAUUUUGCUGGCUUCUUCACAGAGAUCAGCUCCCCUUAAAUGCAUUAGCUGGUGCCCCGCGUGGACCAUCUAUUGGUGUGAUAAUUAUCUACGCCGUGGAUGUCUGCAAUCAUAUGGGUUUUGCACUGCUUCUAACCGUCUGUUCAUUCGGACAAUACAUGACAAUUUGACCUCAAAUCAGG
rnacentral:rRNA from 1 species